AUGGAUACACACAGCACCAUUCAUUUUCAGAAGACAGGCAACACAAAGUGAUGCCAUGUACAGUAAAUGAAGAAGAGAAGCAGUCCAAGAAUUGAACCCUGAGGCACUCCACAGCUAAAUCUUGUGACAUGGACAGUUCACCCCUCCAAGACACCCUGAAUGACCUACUUAAGAGAACGCUGGUCAUCCGCAGCCAGAGGGGUUGGGGAGAGCAAGAUCAACCUCCUCAUCCUCCUUCUCCCAGUGGCCAGGCCCUCCAACCACCACCACAAAAUCCAGUUUGAGCAGCAGCUCUUCAACCUCACUGUCUCUGUUUGGACAGAGAAUAUCAAAAGCGUCUCCAGGCUGAUAAACCUGCUCCUGCUGCUGCUGAAGAGACAAUGAUCUCCAGAUAUGAAGGAGGAAGAGCAGGAACAUUAAGCACAGACUCUGACAAUGGUGGGACAGAUUCCUUCAAAGAUGCAACCGAUGAAGUAGAGCCGAUCUCUGUAGCAAUGCUGUCAGAUGUAACAGUUUUUCCUUUUGGCGAGUCUACUUCACUCAGCUUUAAAAGUUGAAGAUCAACUUCUAGAUUUUUUUUUUGAUCAGAUGCAUUUUGAUGAUUACUGUCCUGCGUACAGUCACUGAGGGUCUGUUGAUCUGAAGUGGACAUGGUGGAAAAUGCCUUUUUC
rnacentral:lncRNA from 1 species